CUUAACACAUGCAAGUCGAGGGGCAGCAUGGUCUUAGCUUGCUAAGGCCGAUGGCGACCGGCGCACGGGUGAGUAACACGUAUCCAACCUGCCGUCUACUCUUGGACAGCCUUCUGAAAGGAAGAUUAAUACAAGAUGGCAUCAUGAGUCCGCAUGUUCACAUGAUUAAAGGUAUUCCGGUAGACGAUGGGGAUGCGUUCCAUUAGAUAGUAGGCGGGGUAACGGCCCACCUAGUCUUCGAUGGAUAGGGGUUCUGAGAGGAAGAUCCCCCACAUUGGAACUGAGACACGGUCCAAACUCCUACGGGAGGCAGCAGUGAGGAAUAUUGGUCAAUGGGCGAGAGCCUGAACCAGCCAAGUAGCGUGAAGGAUGACUGCCCUAUGGGUUGUAAACUUCUUUUAUAAAGGAAUAAAGUCGGGUAUGGAUACCCGUUUGCAUGUACUUUAUGAAUAAGGAUCGGCUAACUCCGUGCCAGCAGCCGCGGUAAUACGGAGGAUCCGAGCGUUAUCCGGAUUUAUUGGGUUUAAAGGGAGCGUAGAUGGAUGUUUAAGUCAGUUGUGAAAGUUUGCGGCUCAACCGUAAAAUUGCAGUUGAUACUGGAUAUCUUGAGUGCAGUUGAGGCAGGCGGAAUUCGUGGUGUAGCGGUGAAAUGCUUAGAUAUCACGAAGAACUCCGAUUGCGAAGGCAGCCUGCUAAGCUGCAACUGACAUUGAGGCUCGAAAGUGUGGGUACCAAACAGGAUUAGAUACCCUGGUAGUCCACACGGUAAACGAUGAAUACUCGCUGUUUGCGAUAUACGGCAAGCGGCCAAGCGAAAGCGUUAAGUAUUCCACCUGGGGAGUACGCCGGCAACGGUGAAACUCAAAGGAAUUGGCGGGGGCCCGCACAAGCGGAGGAACAUGUGGUUUAAUUCGAUGAUACGCGAGGAACCUUACCCGGGCUUAAAUUGCAGAUGAAUUACGGUGAAAGCCGUAAGCCGCAAGGCAUCUGUGAAGGUGCUGCAUGGUUGUCGUCAGCUCGUGCCGUGAGGUGUCGGCUUAAGUGCCAUAACGAGCGCAACCCUUGUUGUCAGUUACUAACAGGUUCCGCUGAGGACUCUGACAAGACUGCCAUCGUAAGAUGUGAGGAAGGUGGGGAUGACGUCAAAUCAGCACGGCCCUUACGUCCGGGGCUACACACGUGUUACAAUGGGGGGUACAGAGGGCCGCUACCACGCGAGUGGAUGCCAAUCCCAAAAACCUCUCUCAGUUCGGACUGGAGUCUGCAACCCGACUCCACGAAGCUGGAUUCGCUAGUAAUCGCGCAUCAGCCACGGCGCGGUGAAUACGUUCCCGGGCCUUGUACACACCGCCCGUCAAGCCAUGGGAGCCGGGGGUACCUGAAGUGCGUAACCGCGAGGAGCGCCCUAGGGUAAAACUGGUGACUGGGGCUAAG
rnacentral:rRNA from 1 species